rnacentral:rRNA from 1 species
UUCUGGUUGAUCCUGCCAGACCUGACUGCUAUCGGAUUGAUACUAAGCCAUGCGAGUCGUUGUAGCAAUACAAGGCAUACGGCUCAGUAACGCGUAGUCAACCUAACCUAUGGACGGGAAUAACCUCGGGAAACUGAGAAUAAUGCCCGAUAGAACAUUAUGCCUGGAAUGGUUUAUGUUCCAAAUGAUUUAUCGCCAUAGGAUGGGACUGCGGCCUAUCAGUUUGUUGGUGAGGUAAUGGCCCACCAAGACUAUUACAGGUACGGGCUCUGAGAGGAGUAGCCCGGAGAUGGGUACUGAGACACGGACCCAGGCCCUAUGGGGCGCAGCAGGCGAGAAAACUUUGCAAUGUGCGAAAGCACGACAAGGUUAAUCCGAGUGAUUUCUGCUAAAGAGAUCUUUUGUUAGUCCUAGAAACACUAACGAAUAAGGGGUGGGCAAGUUCUGGUGUCAGCCGCCGCGGUAAAACCAGCACCUCAAGUGGUCAGGAUGAUUAUUGGGCCUAAAGCAUCCGUAGCCGGCUCUGUAAGUUUUCGGUUAAAUCUGUACGCUCAACGUACAGGCUGCCGGGAAUACUGCAGAACUAGGGAGUGGGAGAGGUAGACGGUACUCGGUAGGAAGUGGUAAAAUGCUUUGAUCUAUCGAUGACCACCUGUGGCGAAGGCGGUCUACCAGAACACGUCCGACGGUGAGGGAUGAAAGCUGGGGGAGCAAACCGGAUUAGAUACCCGGGUAGUCCCAGCUGUAAACUAUGCAAACUCAGUGAUGCAUUGACUUGUGGUCAAUGCAGUGCUGCAGGGAAGCCGUUAAGUUUGCCGCCUGGGAAGUACGUACGCAAGUAUGAAACUUAAAGGAAUUGGCGGGGGAGCACCACAAGGGGUGAAACCUGCGG